rnacentral:rRNA from 1 species
UACGAGGGGGGCGAGCGUUGUUCGGAAUUAUUGGGCGUAAAGGGUGCGUAGGCGGUUUGGUAAGUCUUGUGUGAAAUCUCUGGGCUCAACUCAGAGUCUGCACGAGAAACUGCCGGGCUUGAGUGUGGGAGAGGUGAGUGGAAUUCCUGGUGUAGCGGUGAAAUGCGCAGAUAUCAGGAGGAACACCGAUGGCGAAGGCAGAUCUCUGGGCCGUAACUGACGCUGAGGAGCGAAAGCGUGGGGAGCGAACAGG